CGUUCCUCGUAGUCUCUAGCCCCGGGAAACAGAAUUACAGUCACGAUUCGACUGUGUGGAACUGUAGAGAGGCUGCUGACCGCGCGUCCGAUUUCUAUUGCGUGAGCGAACGAGCGCGUGCGUGCGUACGUGCGUGCGUGCAUGCAUACGUCGUCGGGUACACGCAACGAGUGGCAAUGACAUAUAAAUAGAACGUCGCGCUUCGCCGAGUCUCCCCGCGCAUGAUUAAUUAUUACUUUCCUCGACGUUUACCGGGCUUUGUAAUACACAUACGAUAUAAACUUUAAUAUAAAGUAAACAAGGCAAACGUAACCGUUCGAGUAUCAAACUCUCGCUUUAAAUGCGAACGAAAGUCGGAGAUUCAAGUUUAUCUCUGUCUCUCUCUCUCUCUCUCUUGCUCGGUUCCGAAAAAUGCCACAGAAGUGACGGAUGUUCUCGGACGGCCGCUUCCGGGUGACGGAGUUUAUUGGUUCAAGCUCGAUCAACUACCUCUUCUAUCGAAGGUACGACGCGAAGCGAGGCGAGACCGACAGGCGACGUGUCGUCUGGAAGAGUGCGAGACAGGAGGAUUGAUCGAUCGUGUCCCCGGGUCGAUUCUUUCAGCCGGGUAUACAUAUAGCGAUAUAGACGUACAAGAGUAUUUCACGUCGGCUGGGACACAAUCGAGGCGAGUCGUCUGUCUAUUUCGAUAGUGUCCGGUCGCGACGGAAUUUUCGCGUCGCGGCGAUUCCGCAGCACCGUCGUAAAUUCGUUUUCAUUUACCCGGAAAAAUAUACCGCGUAGAAUUAUUCUUUCUUCGCGAACACAUCCAAGAACUGGUAGACACGGCGAAGACUCGUGCCGUAUUAUCGUAAGAAAUAAAAAAAAUAAAAAAAAUAAAAAAAAAUGGACGGUGAAUAUAAAGAUACGACGUUCGGUGUCGUUAGCCAGCAUGACACGAGGGAAUGUAACAAUUUCUACGAGUAACAAGUAACAAGAGACAUUCCCCGGCCAUCACGUGCAAGAAACGAGCCUCAAUGCCCGGAUUAAAGUCGCAAACUUAUUCUCUUCUUUUUCAUUCGUCUUCUGUGAAAAUCACAACCGCAGUUCUAUUUUUACAUUGUUGUUAACGGGAAAAUGUUAAAUAAUCUGUCGUCUUUUUCAAACCACACACGCGUCGUGUUAUCGAAAGGUCUAUGCAUACACCGGACAGCGUGUUCGAGACAUGCGAGCAUGCAUCAGCUUACCCAACAACCACAAGCAAGCAAAACAAUAACGACAAAGCGAAAUUACCUUCUAGCAGAAUAUUUCAGAGAGUAGACACUCUGAUUAAGGACCCAGGUAGCAAUAGCGCGGACGAGUACCUACCAGGAAGCGUCCGGGAAUGGGAUCACGAAGACGACGCGUAGUGACUGACAGAAGCGGUCAUUGUCGGCCAGAAAAUCACCGGCUAAAUAGAUCUCCGUGACAGAUAACCGCGUGCACGCCAACCGCGCGUUUUCUCGCAUCGGGGGUUUCGUUUCGCGAUCAUUCCCGGCAGUGUUUCUCCAAGUCAUUUUGCUGCGACGCGGAAGAGUUAUCGAAAUAAAUUUUAUCGAACGAGAGUGUAUAAGUUUCAUCCCUAUAACUAACGGCGACAGACGAAAUAAACACGUGACAAACCUUGACAUUGCACGAGGACAGAUCUCACAUGUUUUAAUAAAAGUAACAUAUCUUCAAACAUCGAUGAGAGCAUUUCGUAAUUAAUCAUUCGCAGAAAGCACACACAAGCUACUGAAAGUGUACAACAUAUGUAUGAUAUUCGUUUAAGGCAAACGUCACAUUUGGUUUCACAUUGCGUAACAUCAUAUCCAUUUAUUGUUAUUAAUUUUAUCAAACGUACAUAAAUUUAAUGAAUUUUGUGUAAAUACAGAUGUAUAGAGAUGACACAAAAAUAUAAUCGAUCGUUCGUGCGGGGUGCGCGCGCGCGCGUGUGUGUAACUAACGUGCGUACGAGCAUCAGUCUAUCUCGUCUCGCCUACGCACUCAUCUUCGACCGGUCGCCAAGCGAGAGAUAAUGGAAAAAGGGCGAAUAUAAAAAAAAAAAAAAAUAAAUAAAUAAAG